rnacentral:rRNA from 1 species
AGCGGCGGACGGGUGAGUAACGCGUGGGAAUAUGCCCUUCUCUAAGGAAUAGCCUCUGGAAACGGAGAGUAAUACCUUAUACGCCCUUCGGGGGAAAGAUUUAUCGGAGAAGGAUUAGCCCGCGUUAGAUUAGGUAGUUGGUGGGGUAAUGGCCUACCAAGCCUACGAUCUAUAGCUGGUUUGAGAGGAUGAUCAGCCACACUGGGACUGAGACACGGCCCAGACUCCUACGGGAGGCAGCAGUAGGGAAUCUUAGACAAUGGGGGAAACCCUGAUCUAGCCAUGCCGCGUGUGUGAUGAAGGCCUUAGGGUCGUAAAGCACUUUCGCCAGAGAUGAUAAUGACAGUAUCUGGUAAAGAAACCCCGGCUAACUCCGUGCCAGCAGCCGCGGUAAUACGGAGGGGGUUAGCGUUGUUCGGAAUUACUGGGCGUAAAGCGCACGUAGGCGGAUUAGUAAGUUAGAGGUGAAAUCCCAGGGCUCAACCCUG